rnacentral:misc_RNA from 1 species
CAAUAAUCCCUUGCAAAUCCCAAACAGGUCUACAGGACCAAAAGGCACAUUCAUGAAUUUGAAAGUUGAAAAUGAACCAAAUAGAAACCAUUCAGGCUAAUAUGCCUGCUAUAUAUAUAUUUUCUUAUCACAAGUUACAACAAAGAUAGUUCGACACUGCACAGCUUGUUCAACUCACUAAAUAUAUUUACAAGUUGACAACCUAACAGCUGUGCCCAUAAUUCAGAAACUGAGGAAGAAAACUUGUUCCCAAUAACAUCACCUAAAUACAAAAAAGACCUCUUGUGGUGAUCCAAAACAGGCAGUGAAAGGUGGCGGCAUGGUCAUAUUAUCGAUCAUCUACAAUUUUCAUGUCUCUUAAUACCAACCUUAUGAUGGCUUUCCGAUUGAGGCACUGAACGACAAGAACAUUGAAGAUGAGCUAAUCGAAAAAGGUCAUAACGCUGCUGAAGGGCUGCUUUAAAGUAGUUAUGGAUGCUUAACCUAUGCCUGUUGCAGGAAGUGAGGAAUGUAACAAGAACACAUAUAAUGUUUUUAAGGGACCGGAAGACCUUUGAGAAGAGUUCAUUCCAAACAGAAUGCCAAAAUGACAUAUCAGAUGAGCUAGGCUUUACUUGAACAAAACGCAAAAGCAGACCCUUCCUAUUGGUAAAUACCAUGAAGGCUCUUGCAAGAACUUCAUAGAUGUUUAGUAAUAUAGAAGACACAUGUUUUGCCAAAUGAAGACAACCUUGAGAAGGAAUGAGGAGCAAUCCCCAUAUGAUAUUAAAGAGUGAAGAAAUGAAAGUGCCUAAAUUUAAAAUAAAUGAAUAUAGAAGCUCCAAUGGUGAGAAUAAAACCUUAGCAAAGUCCAAUAAGAUGUUGCUUAAGGGCUGUACCACAACCCUUGCAAUCAUACAGAUUUUCACUCCUAUUUCAGUGAAAGUGCUCCAUAUUGGAACCACAAAUCCCACCAGAUGUUCAAGUGGAUGAAUCAAGUGCCUUGUAAGCAGCAAUACUGAUAGCUUCAUCACAUGUGUCUUCAUUAGAAACAACCGAACUGCUUUCUCAAAAUUAUGUAGGAACAACAUUGUCCCAAGAUACCUGAUUCUCGAAAUCAUAUCACAUGCUUCAAUCCACUUAAAAAAUGGCCAAGAAAGAUGUGAUGCAGCAGCCUUCAAGAGUGGAACAUUCUUAUAGAGAUCAUAAAACCCAAUAAUGACAGUUAUGGAUGAGAUUACCACAUAAAGGAUUCUCAAUAAAGGGCGCAUCCAGGGACGAUAUACUCCAUUGAAAAAUGGAUAGGAUUGAAGAAAGAUAACCCAAGAGGGAAGGCCCGCCUCAAGUAAAGUAAGAAGCUUCAAAUCAGAGGUAAUAAUUUGGUUUAAUUGAAAUGGAAGAUUUUUGUCAUUGAACCCAAAUAGCAGAAACGUAUGCUUGUAUUCCAUAGGCUCAAAGCUACUAUCCUCCCAUAAAUUUUCUUUUCUUUUCCCAAUCAUUGGCUCUCCUACUUGGUUAUCCAUGCAAAACUUAUCAUUUGUCUCAAUGGGGCAUUCCCUGACAUCAAAGAACGCAUCUUCAGAAAAUAGUUCAGCUUGAGAUACAUUAAACAGCAAGUCUUUAGAAGCCACUGAGAUUCCCAAAGAAGAAGGAGAAGAAACUUUGUAAUACAAAAAGAUUAGACUGCUCCACAGGGUUUGUGCUUCAGUUGGAGUGCUCGAGAACCACAAUGAAAUACAGCUCAAUGCUUGAUCAAUGCCAUUGAAUUCCCAUUUUCUCAGAGAUUUCACUUCUAAAGCGAGGAAUGUAUCUGUCUGUGGAAAACAUAUACUGAAGCUCGUUUAAAUAGUUGAUACCCCAUACAUCUUUCCAUGCAACUUCAAACACUAUGAAACCAUGCAAGGCUUUGUACAAAUUCAUCAUAGAGAAUGGAGCUCUUUCACUGACACUAGCCAUGCUAACAUUGGGCAACCACUUCAAAAAUUUCUUCUUUCCAUGGCUGGAGGAUUGGUAUACUAAACUUGGCCUCCUCCGCAAAGCUCUAGUAUUUUUAAAAGGUGAUACUCUGUACUUAGCGAUCAUUAACUCCCUUAUGCAUUUUGAUCUUGAAUGCUUGCUUCUCCACCAUGACUGAUUGUCAACCAGGAUAAGAAAUUUAUGGCUAAUAGGAGCAAAAUAUAGGAAAGCCUGCGAUAGAUUGGACUUUAUAUCCCCAAUCUGCAAACUCGUCAAAGGAUAGAGAUCAGGACAAGAGUCCAUAUUUUCAUACUCUGUUGUUAAUUAUUAAAACCUUCAAUCUUCUCCCGCCCUCCAAAGUCCAAAGAAAUUCAAAUCUCGAUACCAAACUCCGAGCAGUUUUCCUUAUAAAAUCCGACAAAGAAUUUCAUAAUUAACUAUAAACGCCAAAUUUAAUCGAAACAGAAAGCUAAUGGGCAAGUCCAUCUCUACCCAUUUGAAAUUGGGGGGAAAAAAUGGAACCCAAUUGGAAAAAUCAAAGUGAGGACGGUAACCUCUCUUUUGUCUGGUUGCUCGCAAAUUGUAAAUGAAUGAAGAUGAUGAGAACAGAAGAGACGCGGUCGAGUCUCGACGUAUAUGCCAUAGUUGGCAGUUAUUUUGUCUCUCUACAGAAAAAUCGGACCGAGAUUUCGGCUCUGCAAUGCAAAGGGUGGGCGCCAAAACAACGGAGAUGACCAAACCGAAUUCCUAAAAUCUAGCUCCAAG